rnacentral:rRNA from 1 species
CCUACGGGUGGCUGCAGUGGGGAAUAUUGGACAAUGGGCGAAAGCCUGAUCCAGCCAUGCCGCGUGUGUGAAGAAGGCCUUCGGGUUGUAAAGCACUUUCAGUGGGGAAGAAAGCCUUGGGGCUAAUACCCUCGAGGAAGGACAUCACCCACAGAAGAAGCACCGGCUAACUCCGUGCCAGCAGCCGCGGUAAUACGGAGGGUGCGAGCGUUAAUCGGAAUUACUGGGCGUAAAGCGCGCGUAGGCGGUCUGAUAAGCCGGUUGUGAAAGCCCCGGGCUCAACCUGGGAACGGCAUCCGGAACUGUCAGGCUAGAGUGCAGGAGAGGAAGGUAGAAUUCCCGGUGUAGCGGUGAAAUGCGUAGAGAUCGGGAGGAAUACCAGUGGCGAAGGCGGCCUUCUGGACUGACACUGACGCUGAGGUGCGAAAGCGUGGGUAGCAAACAGGAUUAGAUACCCUAGUAUC